rnacentral:rRNA from 1 species
UACAGAGGGUGCGAGCGUUGUCCGGAAUCACUGGGCGUAAAGGGUGCGUAGGCGGCCGCGCAAGUCUGGCGUGAAAGCCCUGGGCUCAGCCCGGGAAGUGCGCUCGAAACUGCGCGGCUCGAGUGCCGGAGGGGAGAGUGGAAUUCCUGGUGUAGCGGUGAAAUGCGUAGAUAUCAGGAGGAAUACCGGUGGCGAAAGCGACUCUCUGGACGGCAACUGACGCUGAGGCACGAAAGCGUGGGGAGCAAACAGG